AGAGUUUGAUCCUGGCUCAGAACGAACGCUGGCGGCGUGCCUAAAACAUGCAAGUCGAGCGAGAAAGGGGGCAACCCUGAGUAAAGCGGCGCACGGGUGCAUAACACGUGGGUAAUCUGCCUCGAAGAGUGGGAUAACUAGCCGAAAGGUUAGCUAAUACCGCAUAAGCUUACGACUUCUUCGGAAGUUGUGAGAAAAGGUGGCCUCUGUAUACAAGCUAUCACUUCGAGAUGAGCCCGCGGCCCAUCAGCUAGUUGGCGGUGUAAAAGACCACCAAGGCUAUGACGGGUAGCUGGUCUGAGAGGACGAUCAGCCACACUGGAACUGAGACACGGUCCAGACUCCUACGGGAGGCAGCAGUUGGGAAUAUUGCGCAAUGGGCGAAAGCCUGACGCAGCAACGCCGCGUGAGCGAUGAAGGUCUUCGGAUCGUAAA
rnacentral:rRNA from 1 species